rnacentral:rRNA from 1 species
UACAGAGGGUGCAAGCGUUGUUCGGAAUUAUUGGGCGUAAAGCGCGUGUAGGCGGCUUUGCAAGUCGGGUGUGAAAGCCCUCAGCUUAACUGAGGAAGUGCGCCCGAAACUGCUUGGCUUGAGUACCGGAGAGGAUGGCGGAAUUCCCCAAGUAGAGGUGAAAUUCGUAGAUAUGGGGAGGAACACCGGUGGCGAAGGCAGCCCCCUGGGUUAACACUGACGCUCAUGCACGAAAGCGUGGGGAGCAAACAGG